CGAACCCCCGGCCCUGCGGAGCGGCCCCCGGAGCAGCUCCGAGGGGCGGCCCCGGGGCGGCGCGGGCGGCGGGCGGCGCCGAGAGGCAGCGGGGAGGCGGGCGGGCGAAGCGCGGAGGCCGCAGGGCGGAGGAGAGGGCGGGCGCGUCCUCGGGGGACUCCGGGGGAGACACGAAGAGGGGAGGGCCCGCCGCUCGGCCCCUACCUCGGCUGUCGGCGGGCGGCGCGGCGGGGGGAGCGCUCUCGGGGCCCGCCGGCAGCCGCUGCCCCGCGCACAUGGACUUCAGCACCUGGAAGACGGCGAGCGGCGCCACGUUCAUGCGCAGCAGGUCCAGCAGCACCUUGAACACCUCCGGGUCCAGCCCGCUGCCCGCCGCCUGAGCCAGCUCGAACAGCUCCGCCUCCUCCGCGCUCAGCACCUUCCGCCGCGGCCGAGCCGCCGCCGCCACCGCCGCCUUCCCCAGCGCCGCGCCCGACAUGGCCGCCCCGCGCUGCCGCCAGACCCGCGCGCCGGUUCCCGAGGCACCGCCCCUCACGGCCUGGC
rnacentral:lncRNA from 1 species